GACGAACCGUGCUAACGUUAUUCGGAAUCACUGGGCUUAAAGCGCGUGUAGGCGGGACGGCACGUCGGUCGCUGAAAUCCCCGGGCUCAACCCGGGAACUGCGUCCGAUACUGGCAGGCUUGAAUCCGGGAGAGGGAUGCUGAAUUCCAGGUGUAGCGGUGAAAUGCGUAGAUAUCUGGAGGAACACCGGUGGCGAAGGCGGCAUCCUGGACCGGCAUUGACGCUGAGGCGCGAAAGCCAGGGGAGCAAACGGG
rnacentral:rRNA from 1 species